GAUGAAGAACGCAGCGAAAUGCGAUAAGUAAUGUGAAUUGCAGAAUUCAGUGAAUCAUCGAGUCUUUGAACGCACAUUGCGCCCCCUGGUAUUCCGGGGGGCAUGCCUGUCCGAGCGUCAUUGCUGCCCUCAAGCACGGCUUGUGUGUUGGGCCCCCGUCCCCGGUUUCCCCCGGGGACGGGCCCGAAAGGCAGCGGCGGCACCGCGUCCGGUCCUCGAGCGUAUGGGGCUUUGUCACCCGCUCUGUAGGCCCGGCCGGCGCCAGCCGACACCCAACUUUAUUUCUAAGGUUGACCUCGGAUCAGGUAGGGAUACCCGCUGAACUUAAGCAUAUCAAUAAGGGAGGA
rnacentral:misc_RNA from 1 species